UCUGUAACCCGACCAAAAUUCCUUUUAAGACACCAAAUUAGUGAACCCUUUAGCCAUUUUGGCAUUUUUGAGGUGAGGGUUCUCAAAACCCUAGCUCUGCCAUGUUUCUCUCUAUCUCGCUCUCUCAAGCGUCACUCCGCCGAAAAUGGCAAGAAAGUUACUUAAGUUUCUUUCUUGGUGUUCAAGUGAAGCAAACUGCUACCAGACUUUAUCUUUCUCAACAACAAUAUAUUGCAAACUUACUCGCCCACGCAGCCAUGCAUAAUUGCAAACUAGUGCGCAUUCCUAUGGCAGCGAAUACUAAGCUCCAUGCAGGUGAUAGUUCUCUAUUUGAUGACUCGACUUUGUAUCGCACUAUUGUUGGAGCUUUGAAAUAUGUCACGUGGACUCGAUUGGAGCUCGCAUUUUAUAAGGUCUUCCAAUUUAUGCACUCUCCAAGUCAAUAUCAGGGGACUUCUAUUAAGCGCAUCCUUUGGUACCUCAAGCUCACAAUGCAUAAUCAAUUCAUCAUUCCUCGGUCAUCCAACUUGGUGCUACAUGCUUGACUAUUUGGGAUUAGGCGGGCUCUUUGGAUGAUAGAAGGUCCGCUGGUGGUUAUGCUAUCUUUCUUGAAAAUGUAUUGAUCUCUUGGUCGUCUAAGAAGCAACGUACUGUUGCUCGCUUGUAAACUGAAUCUGAAUAUAAAGCACUUGUCGAUGCUGCAGCUAAGCUCACAUGGUUGUCGUCCUUGAUCUUUGAGCUUGACAUUCAUCUUUGUACAUAUCCUGUGUUGUGGUGCGACAAUCUUGGUGCAGACUUUUUGUCCAUCAAUCCAGAUUUUCAUGUCCGCACCAAGAAAGUUGAAAUAGAUUUUCACUUUUUCCGUGAUAA